rnacentral:sRNA from 1 species
GUCGUCCGGUGUUUUCCUCCCAUUGCGCCGGGCGAUGUUCCCCUCUGAAGGUUAUGACCUUCACCUUGGCCGGGCCGUUUUCACGCCCGGCCAUUUUU